CUGGCCAGGCUUAAUGUCCAUUUAUAAUCAUCUUGUGUUGCUGGAACCUUCUCUUUGGAUAAGAAGACAUUGGCUCAUAACUGAACAAUCCUGCCUCACAAGGAUGAAAGCAUCUUCCUCUCUUUAGAGGACCAGAUGGGUCUGAAAUUCUUGCUUGGGGCCAUAUGGAGGGCCGUGCAGGGAGGGAAUUAUAUCCGGCUUUCUGUUUCUGCUCAACUCUUCCCACCGGGCUGGCCUCCAAAGAUGCUUCAGGCUGCUGAUCAAGAUUAUAUUUAUAGUCAGAGAAAAGGAAGUAAGAUAAAGGAAUCGUACAUGAGGCAGAGACGAUCUGACAGCCACAGCUUGUGUCUGUCUUAUUUGAAAUGUUUGGCUGGCUGGCUGGCUGGCUGUUGGUGACAGGCGAAUGCUCUAUAACUUACACAAGUCUUGGGGGUGUAAACGUUUCCUGACAUGCUUGGCUUUUUAUGAGGAUGCUGGCCAUUCAGACUCAGGUCCUCAUGUUUGUGCAGCAAGAGCUCUUGCCCACCAAGUCAUUUCUCCAGCCCCCUAAUGAUAAAGAAAUUCAGCUGGAAAAGAAGAGAGUUUUCUGGGGAUACGCUGGGGUGGUCAUUUCCCGCCACAUGAAAUGUAUCUCCUAGCCCUGAACUACACACUUGAAAGCAAUUAAAGUUUUUGUUACAUGUA
rnacentral:sRNA from 1 species